rnacentral:snRNA from 1 species
GUGCCCGCUCGGGCAGCACAUACACUAAAAUUGGAACAAUACAGAGAUUAGCGUGGCCUCUGCGCAAGUAUGGCAUGCAAGUGGUCCAUAGUAAAAAAAAAAAAAA